ACUCAUACCUUGCAGUGAGAAUACCAUGUCAUAAAAUGGUUUUCUUAGGGGGAGGCUCAUCCAUUGCAUUUGUGGUAUCUUGCUGAUCCCUGUGAUUUCCCCAAAUGUGAGAAACUCAGCUGUAUGAUUUUUGUUAAUGAGAGGAUUACAUUUAUGAUUUCCCUGU
rnacentral:snRNA from 1 species